UGUGUUCAUUGUAAAUCUGCUCAUCUAAACAUACAAGGCGGAACCAAUCGAUCACAGAGAGCGAUCGCUGCUGACACCGUCAGCAGCACUUACAUUCAGAUUACAAUAAUAUUUCACAUUAUUACAUUCAGAUUACAAUAAUAUUUCACAUUAUAAGUGUUUUUAUAUCAAAUAAAUGCAGCCUUGGUGAGCAGAAUAGAUUUAUUUAAUUAUUUAAUAUUAUUUAUAUAAUAAGGCUAGUUUGUGCAGUUACAUCUAUGUCAAUUGAGCGUAAGAAGGGAUUAAAAUUGAUUGUGUUAUGUUCUGUAAUUGUUGUUAAUAAAUCUUUCAGAAGAAAGUGUGUAAAAGUUUGACUACAGUAACCAUAUCUAACCAAGCUUCAAGUACCAAGAUAAUUAUUUCAUUUAUUUCUCUGAAUUCAGAAUUCAGAACUGUUCAUUUAUGCAGUUUAUGCUUUAUUUAUAGGUAGCAUAACUGUUACCUUUUUUUUUACAGUUCUGCAUAUAUAAUAUGACAAACCUAGGAGACUUUGCUGUAAGAGAAUUAAUCAUGUUUUUGUUUUCUUUUCUCAGGUCCGGUCAGUACCCACCACCCUUCCCUGUUCACCCACAGUUUAUACUUUUUCUUAGAAAACCAACGGCUCUUUUAAGAGCCACUUCAAUAAUCAACUCACUCACUCUCCUCAAAAAUGCCAGGCCAGGGGUCAACAACUAGAAAGUGUGUGGUCUGCCAUACACAACUAAAUGUAGCUUGCAAAACCUGCAACACAUGCAAGGUAGAGCAGCCACAUAAGCUUCGGGUAAAAAAGAACUGAAGAAAUGUGAUCAGAAGCGGGAGAGCUGGGUGCAUGAUGAAGAUAUGGAAGAUAUGCUGGCCUGGAAGAAAACCAAAUGCUUGGGGGUCUGAGGUUUUGACACCCCAUUAUCACUUGACUGAGACAUCCAUUACAUGCUUGGAAAGAUUAAAGAACCUAUUCAAAG